rnacentral:rRNA from 1 species
UACGUAGGUGGCAAGCGUUAUCCGGAUUUACUGGGUGUAAAGGGUGAGUAGGCGGGGAGACAAGUCAGAUGUGAAAUGCAAAGGCUUAACCUUUGAACUGCAUUUGAAACUGUUUUUCUUGAGAGUCGGAGAGGUAAUUGGAAUUCCCGGUGUAGCGGUGAAAUGCGUAGAGAUCGGGAGGAACACCAGUGGCGAAGGCGGAUUACUGGACGACCACUGACGCUGAUGCACGAAAGCGUGGGGAGCAAAC